rnacentral:rRNA from 1 species
GACGAACGCUGGCGGCGUGCUUAACACAUGCAAGUGGUGCGACGAACCAGGGCUUGCCCUGGGGCAAAGCCGCGAACGGGUGAGUAACACGUGGGUAAUCUGCCCCGAUGACCGGGACAACCCGAGGAAACUCGGGCUAAUACCGGAUGUGGUACACAGCCAUAAGUCUGUGUACUAAAGGAAGCUUCGGCCUCCGCAUUGGGAGGAGCCCGCGGCCCAUUAGCUUGUUGGUGGGGUAACGGCCUACCAAGGCGACGAUGGGUAGCUGGUCUGAGAGGACGAUCAGCCACACUGGGACUGAGACACGGCCCAGACUCCUACGGGAGGCAGCGGUGGGGAAUCUUGCGCAAUGCGCGAAAGCGUGACGCAGCAACGCCGCGUGGGGGAAGACGGCCUUCGGGUUGUAAACCCCCUUCAGGAGGGACGAAGGUUCGCCGGUGAAUAGCCGUGCGGAUUGACGGUACCUCCACAAGAAGCUCCGGCUAACUACGUGCCAGCAGCCGCAGUAAAAC